rnacentral:rRNA from 1 species
GAGAAUGUUAUCACGGGAGACACACGGCGGGUGCUAACGUCCGUCGUGAAGAGGGAAACAACCCAGACCGCCAGCUAAGGUCCCAAAGUCAUGGUUAAGUGGGAAACGAUGUGGGAAGGCCCAGACAGCUAGGAUGUUGGCUUAGAAGCAGCCAUCAUUUAAAGAAAGCGUAAUAGCUCACUGGUCGAGUCGGCCUGCGCGGAAGAUGUAACGGGGCUAAACCAUGCACCGAAGCUGCGGCAGCGACGCUUAUGCGUUGUUGGGUAGGGGAGCGUUCUGUAAGCCUGCGAAGGUGUGCUGUGAGGCAUGCUGGAGGUAUCAGAAGUGCGAAUGCUGACAUAAGUAACGAUAAAGCGGGUGAAAAGCCCGCUCGCCGGAAGACCAAGGGUUCCUGUCCAACGUUAAUCGGGGCAGGGUGAGUCGACCCCUAAGGCGAGGCCGAAAGGCGUAGUCGAUGGGAAACAGGUUAAUAUUCCUGUACUUGGUGUUACUGCGAAGGGGGGACGGAGAAGGCUAUGUUGGCCGGGCGACGGUUGUCCCGGUUUAAGCGUGUAGGCUGGUUUUCCAGGCAAAUCCGGAAAAUCAAGGCUGAGGCGUGAUGACGAGGCACUACGGUGCUGAAGCAACAAAUGCCCUGCUUCCAGGAAAAGCCUCUAAGCAUCAGGUAACAUCAAAUCGUACCCCAAACCGACACAGGUGGUCAGGUAGAGAAUACCAAGGCGCUUGAGAGAACUCGGGUGAAGGAACUAGGCAAAAUGGUGCCGUAACUUCGGGAGAAGGCACGCUGAUAUGUAGGUGAAGUCCCUUGCGGAUGGAGCUGAAAUCAGUCGAAGAUACCAGCUGGCUGCAACUGUUUAUUAAAAACACAGCACUGUGCAAACACGAAAGUGGACGUAUACGGUGUGACGCCUGCCCGGUGCCGGAAGGUUAAUUGAUGGGGUCAGCGCAAGCGAAGCUCUUGAUCGAAGCCCCGGUAAACGGCGGCCGUAACUAUAACGGUCCUAAGGUAGCGAAAUUCCUUGUCGGGUAAGUUCCGACCUGCACGAAUGGCGUAAUGAUGGCCAGGCUGUCUCCACCCGAGACUCAGUGAAAUUGAACUCGCUGUGAAGAUGCAGUGUACCCGCGGCAAGACGGAAAGACCCCGUGAACCUUUACUAUAGCUUGACACUGAACAUUGAGCCUUGAUGUGUAGGAUAGGUGGGAGGCUUUGAAGUGUGGACGCCAGUCUGCAUGGAGCCGGCCUUGAAAUACCACCCUUUAAUGUUUGAUGUUCUAACGUGGACCCGUGAUCCGGGUUGCGGACAGUGUCUGGUGGGUAGUUUGACUGGGGCGGUCUCCUCCUAAAGAGUAACGGAGGAGCACGAAGGUUGGCUAAUCCUGGUCGGACAUCAGGAGGUUAGUGCAAUGGCAUAAGCCAGCUUGACUGCGAGCGUGACGGCGCGAGCAGGUGCGAAAGCAGGUCAUAGUGAUCCGGUGGUUCUGAAUGGAAGGGCCAUCGCUCAACGGAUAAAAGGUACUCCGGGGAUAACAGGCUGAUACCGCCCAAGAGUUCAUAUCGACGGCGGUGUUUGGCACCUCGAUGUCGGCUCAUCACAUCCUGGGGCUGAAGUAGGUCCCAAGGGUAUGGCUGUUCGCCAUUUAAAGUGGUACGCGAGCUGGGUUUAGAACGUCGUGAGACAGUUCGGUCCCUAUCUGCCGUGGGCGCUGGAGAACUGAGGGGGGCUGCUCCUAGUACGAGAGGACCGGAGUGGACGCAUCACUGGUGUUCGGGUUGUCAUGCCAAUGGCACUGCCCGGUAGCUAAAUGCGGAAGAGAUAAGUGCUGAAAGCAUCUAAGCACGAAACUUGCCCCGAGAUGAGUUCUCCCUGACCCUUUAAGGGUCCUGAAGGAACGUUGAAGACGACGACGUUGAUAGGCCGGGUGUGUAAGCGCAGCGAUGCGUUGAGCUAACCGGUACUAAUGAACCGUGAGG